rnacentral:rRNA from 1 species
UACAGAGGGUGCAAGCGUUAACCGGAAUUACUGGGCGUAAAGGGUGCGUAGGCGGCCGAGCAAGUCGAGUGUGAAAGCCCCGAGCUUAACUUGGGAACUGCGCUCGAAACUACUUGGCUAGAGUGUGGCAGAGGGAGGUGGAAUUCCACGUGUAGCGGUGGAAUGCGUAGAGAUGUGGAGGAACACCGAUGGCGAAGGCAGCCUCCUGGGCCAACACUGACGCUCAUGCACGAAAGCGUGGGGAGCAAACAGG